rnacentral:rRNA from 1 species
GGUUAAGUUAGAAAGGGCGCACGGUGGAUGCCUUGGCACUAGGAGCCGAUGAAGGACGGGACGAACACCGAUAUGCUUCGGGGAGCUGUAAGCAAGCUUUGAUCCGGAGAUUUCCGAAUGGGGAAACCCACCACUCGUAAUGGAGUGGUAUCCAUAUCUGAAUACAUAGGAUAUGAGAAGGCAGACCCGGGGAACUGAAACAUCUAAGUACCCGGAGGAAGAGAAAGCAAAUGCGAUUCCCUGAGUAGCGGCGAGCGAAACGGGACCAGCCCAAACCAAGAGGCUUGCCUCUUGGGGUUGUAGGACACUCUGUACGGAGUUACAAAGGAACGAGGUAGAUGAAGAGGUCUGGAAAGGCCCGCCAUAGAAGGUAACAGCCCUGUAGUCAAAACUUCGUUCUCUCCUGAGUGGAUCCUGAGUACGGCGGAACACGUGAAAUUCCGUCGGAAUCCGGGAGGACCAUCUCCCAAGGCUAAAUACUCCCUAGUGACCGAUAGUGAACCAGUACCGUGAGGGAAAGGUGAAAAGCACCCCGGAAGGGGAGUGAAAGAGAUCCUGAAACCGUGUGCCUACAAGUAGUCAGAGCCCGUUAAUGGGUGAUGGCGUGCCUUUUGUAGAAUGAACCGGCGAGUUACGAUCCCGUGCAAGGUUAAGCAGAAGAUGCGGAGCCGCAGCGAAAGCGAGUCUGAAUAGGGCGAAUUGAGUACGUGGUCGUAGACCCGAAACCAGGUGAUCUACCCAUGUCCAGGGUGAAGUUCAGGUAACACUGAAUGGAGGCCCGAACCCACGCACGUUGAAAAGUGCGGGGAUGAGGUGUGGGUAGGGGUGAAAUGCCAAUCGAACCUGGAGAUAGCUGGUUCUCUCCGAAAUAGCUUUAGGGCUAGCCUCAAGGUAAGAGUCUCGGAGGUAGAGCACUGAUUGGACUAGGGGCCCCUACCGGGUUACCGAAUUCAGUCAAACUCCGAAUGCCGAUGACUUAUCCUUGGGAGUCAGACUGCGAGUGAUAAGAUCCGUAGUCGAAAGGGAAACAGCCCAGACCGCCAGCUAAGGUCCCAAAGUAUACGUUAAGUGGAAAAGGAUGUGGAGUUGCUUAGACAACCAGGAUGUUGGCUUAGAAGCAGCCACCAUUUAAAGAGUGCGUAAUAGCUCACUGGUCGAGUGACUCUGCGCCGAAAAUGUACCGGGGCUAAACGUAUCACCGAAGCUGCGGACUGUUCUUCGAACAGUGGUAGGAGAGCGUUCUAAGGGCUGUGAAGCAAGACCGGAAGGACUUGUGGAGCGCUUAGAAGUGAGAAUGCCGGUAUGAGUAGCGAAAGAGGGGUGAGAAUCCCCUCCACCGAAUGCCUAAGGUUUCCUGAGGAAGGCUCGUCCGCUCAGGGUUAGUCGGGACCUAAGCCGAGGCCGAAAGGCGUAGGCGAUGGAUAACAGGUUGAUAUUCCUGUACCACCUCCUCACCAUUUGAGCAAUGGGGGGACGCAGGAGGAUAGGGUAAGCGCGGUAUUGGAUAUCCGCGUCCAAGCAGUUAGGCUGGGAAAUAGGCAAAUCCGUUUCCCGUGAAGGCUGAGCUGUGAUGGCGAGCGAAUUAUAGUAGCGAAGUUCCUGAUUCCACACUGCCAAGAAAAGCCUCUAGCGAGGUGAGAGGUGCCCGUACCGCAAACCGACACAGGUAGGCGAGGAGAGAAUCCUAAGGUGAUCGAGAGAACUCUCGUUAAGGAACUCGGCAAAAUGACCCCGUAACUUCGGGAGAAGGGGUGCUCUGUUAGGGUGCAAGCCCGAGAGAGCCGCAGUGAAUAGGCCCAGGCGACUGUUUAGCAAAAACACAGGUCUCUGCGAAGCCGUAAGGCGAAGUAUAGGGGCUGACGCCUGCCCGGUGCUGGAAGGUUAAGAGGAGCGCUUAGCGUAAGCGAAGGUGCGAAUUGAAGCCCCAGUAAACGGCGGCCGUAACUAUAACGGUCCUAAGGUAGCGAAAUUCCUUGUCGGGUAAGUUCCGACCCGCACGAAAGGCGCAACGAUCUGGGCACUGUCUCAACGAGAGACUCGGUGAAAUUAUAGUACCUGUGAAGAUGCAGGUUACCCGCGACAGGACGGAAAGACCCCGUGGAGCUUUACUGCAGCCUGAUAUUGAAUGUUGGUACAGCUUGUACAGGAUAGGUAGGAGCCUUGGAAACCGGAGCGCCAGCUUCGGUGGAGGCAUCGGUGGGAUACUACCCUGGCUGUAUUGACCUUCUAACCCGCCGCCCUUAUCGGGCAGGGAGACAGUGUCAGGUGGGCAGUUUGACUGGGGCGGUCGCCUCCUAAAAGGUAACGGAGGCGCCCAAAGGUUCCCUCAGAAUGGUUGGAAAUCAUUCGCAGAGUGUAAAGGCACAAGGGAGCUUGACUGCGAGACCUACAAGUCGAGCAGGGACGAAAGUCGGGCUUAGUGAUCCGGUGGUUCCGCAUGGAAGGGCCAUCGCUCAACGGAUAAAAGCUACCCCGGGGAUAACAGGCUUAUCUCCCCCAAGAGUCCACAUCGACGGGGAGGUUUGGCACCUCGAUGUCGGCUCAUCGCAUCCUGGGGCUGUAGUCGGUCCCAAGGGUUGGGCUGUUCGCCCAUUAAAGCGGUACGCGAGCUGGGUUCAGAACGUCGUGAGACAGUUCGGUCCCUAUCCGUCGCGGGCGCAGGAAAUUUGAGAGGAGCUGUCCUUAGUACGAGAGGACCGGGAUGGACGCACCGCUGGUGUACCAGUUGUUCUGCCAAGGGCAUCGCUGGGUAGCUAUGUGCGGACGGGAUAAGUGCUGAAAGCAUCUAAGCAUGAAGCCCCCCUCAAGAUGAGAUUUCCCAUUCCGCAAGGAAGUAAGAUCCCUGAAAGAUGAUCAGGUUGAUAGGUCUGAGGUGGAAGUGUGGCGACACAUGGAGCUGACAGAUACUAAUCGAUCGAGGACUUAACCAA